AGGCCGAGGAGAGCCAGCUGAACAGAGAGCGCAGGGCUCGUUUCACGAAGAGAUGAAAAUGCAUCCCUUGCAAAUCGCAAAUUAAAAAAAAGAAAGAAUCUUCCGUGAUCAUGCCCACCCUUCAGUGGGCGGAGGAAAGGUCUCUCAGAACCGCAGCUCAGACUUCCGUUUCCAGAUGAGGACCAGUAUUGAUCUUUACCCACCCAGCAUAGGUGGCAGCACUGGGCACAUGCAGACAGAGAACAGUACAGACAGGCAGCAUGCCCUGAGGAGGAGGAAGAUGUGGUCGCCCUUCAUCUCUUCAGCCACACCGAUUGGACAAGAUUCUGGAAUUCAUUCCAGAUUGGGUUCCUUCAGCACCUCCGAGUGCCAGGCUGAGAGAGAGACGCAUCACUUCCUCCCGGGACAGGAAGCAGGUAGCCA